UUACUUUGGCAGCAUAUAUACUAAAAUUGGAACAAAUACAGAGAAGAUUAGCAUGGCCCCAGUGAAAGGAUGACACCCAAAUUCAUGAAGGAUUCCGUAACUUU